rnacentral:rRNA from 1 species
UACGUAGGUGGCAAGCGUUGUCCGGAAUUAUUGGGCGUAAAGCGCGCGCAGGCGGCCUUUUAAGUCUGAUGUGAAGUCUUGCGGCUCAACCGCAAGCGGCCAUUGGAAACCGUAUGGCUAGAGUCCGGAAGAGGAGAGUGGAAUUCCUGGUGUAGCGGUGAAAUUCGUAGAUAUUAGGAAGAACACCGGUGGCGAAGGCGGCCCACUGGCUCGACACUGACGCUGAGGUGCGAAAGCGUGGGGAGCAAACAGG